AGCAAUAUAUGCCGAAGACAGUAGGUGUCGUAAGACGUAAGGAGAAAACGCCUACCGAGGAUUAAGAAUUCAUGAAUUAAGAAUCUUAAGGAGCCUCUCUGUCUUGGCAGAGAGGCUUUU
rnacentral:sRNA from 1 species